GACGAACGCUGGCGGCGUGCUUAACACAUGCAAGUCGAACGGAAAGGCCCUGCUUGCCGGGUACUCGAGUGGCGAACGGGUGAGUAACACGUGGGUGAUCUGCCCUGCACUUCGGGAUAAGCCUGGGAAACUGGGUCUAAUACCGGAUAGGAGCCAUAUUUAGUGUGAUGGUUGGAAAGUUUUUUCGGUGUAGGAUGAGCUCGCGGCCUAUCAGCUUGUUGGUGGGGUAAUGGCCUACCAAGGCGGCGACGGGUAGCCGGCCUGAGAGGGUGGACGGCCACAUUGGGACUGAGAUACGGCCCAGACUCCUACGGGAGGCAGCAGUGGGGAAUAUUGCACAAUGGGCGCAAGCCUGAUGCAGCGACGCCGCGUGGGGGAUGACGGCCUUCGGGUUGUAAACUCCUUUCGCUAGGGACGAAGCUUUUUGUGACGGUACCUAGAGAAGAAGCACCGGCUAACUACGUG
rnacentral:rRNA from 1 species